rnacentral:rRNA from 1 species
AAUAAACGCUGGCGGCGUGCCUAACACAUGCAAGUCGAGCGCCCCGCAAGGGGAGCGGCGGACGGGUGAGUAACACGUGGGAAUUUUCCUCAAGGUACGGAACAACUCAGGGAAACUUGGGCUAAUACCGUAUGAUGCAGAGAUGCCAAAGAUUUAUCGCCUUGGGAUAAGCCCGCGUCAGAUUAGGUAGUUGGUGGGGUAAUGGCCUACCAAGCCUGUGAUCUGUAGCUGGUCUGAGAGGACGAUCAGCCACAUUGGGACUGAGACACGGCCCAAACUCCUACGGGAGGCAGCAGUGGGGAAUCUUGCGCAAUGGACGAAAGUCUGACGCAGCCAUGCCGCGUGAAUGAUGAAGGUCUUAGGAUUGUAAAGUUCUUUAGCCUGUGACGAUGAUGACGGUAACAGGAGAAUAAGCCCCGGCUAACUUCGUG